rnacentral:rRNA from 1 species
GACGAACGCUGGCGGCGUGCCUAACACAUGCAAGUCGAACGAAGUGGCGAACGGGUGAGUAACGCGUAAUCAACCUGCCCUUCAGAGGGGGACAACAGGUGGAAACGACUGCUAAUACCGCAUACUUAAGGAGGGGAUUGCGUCUGAUUAGCUGGUUGGAGGGGUAACGGCCCAACAAGGCGAUGAUCAGUAGCCGGUCUGGAAGGAUGAACGGCCAAAUUGGGAACGGGACACGGCCCAGAACUCUACGGGAGGCAGCAGUGGGGAAUUUUCCGCAAUGGAGGAAAGUCUUACGGGGCAACGCCGCGUGAGUGAUGACGGCCUUCGGGUUGUAAAGCUCUGUUAAUCGGGACGCGGUACCGGAAGAGAAAGCCACGGCUAACUACGUGCCAGCAGCCGCGGUAAUUC